UCUCACGCGCGGUCCCAAGGUCAGGACAGCCGCAGCCCCUCACCAUCCUCAGACGGGCUCUUCAGUGAGUCAGAGAAUGCGAUGCAUGUGCUGUGACCGCCUCCUCCUAGUCACCUGGCACGGGAACAAUGAGGACACCCCCUCUGCUGGGAGAAGGUCACAGUCCAAGAUGACAGGAACUGCCAGAGAGGUAUGUGGCACACCAGGUACACACAGGCGAAGAGACGUGAGAGUUUCCGAGAAAGGAAGUGGUCCUAGCUGUGGUAAAAGGUACUGAGGCACUGGGUCAGAGGAGGACCUUCAGAAGAGUCUUGGAUUUGGCACCACGGAAGUCACCUGCGACGUGGACAGGAACAUCUUAGAAAGAGUCCUCAGGAGAGUGAGGAAGUGGAUACAGAGACUGUAAAUGACUCUGCUGAGAAUUUUGCUAGAAAAGAGAGAAAUAGAAGCUGAAAGGGGAUGCGGGGCCAAAGGAGGGUUUUUGUUUGUUUGUAUGUUAUGUUUUGUCUUGUUUUAAGAGGAGAGACAGGCAAGGGAUUAUAUUCUGGAGGGAAGGAUCUAGAAGGUCUGCCGAUGCAGGAAGGACUGUCCUUAUGAGAGUGAAGCCAGCCCUCAACGGUGGAGUGAUUUUCCCGCCCAAGUGAAAGCAGGCACUACCACACCUAGAAAAUAUUCAGGCCCGAAUUAAAUAUUCUUUUUUUUUUUUUGUCUUUUUUUUGCUAUUUCUUGGGCCGCCCCUGCGGCAUAUGGAGGUUCCCAGGCUAGGGGUCGAAUCGGAGCCAUAGCCACCGGCCUGCGCCAGAGCCACAGCAACGCGGGAUCCGAGCCGCAUCUGCAACCUACACCACAGCUCAUGGCAACGCCGGAUCGUUAACCCACUAAGCAAGGGCAGGGACCGAACCCGCAACCUCAUGGUUCCUAGUCGGAUUCGUUAACCACUGCGCCACGACGGGAACUCCCUGGAAUUAAAUAUUCUAAGACAAAUCUUUUAACUUCUGUAAUAAAAAUACAAAAUCUGAGUCAAAGGGUUGCAAUCUGUUUUCUGUAAUUCCUGAAAUCACAGAGCAGGGAUAUAAAGACGAAUCUUUAACGUUCCUGUUCAUAAAUGUCUAGCUGCUGUUUUUGUUUCCUCCACUUAUUUUCUGUAGCAGCUUUUAAUCAGACAAGAAUCUAAAAUUUGCUAAAGCAUUUUCAAGGCUUAAUCCAGCUUAAAGGUGGAAGAACAUCCCCAGACCAAAAA
rnacentral:lncRNA from 1 species